UUAGGACUUCCACUGCAGCCUCAGAAGCCAAAAGUGGGGACAUCUCCAGCCUGUACCGAAAGAAGUUUUGGGACACCCUCAAAGAGUGAGGAACGGACACUCAAACGAAGAUCUGCAUAUGAGCAUCAACUGCACUGUUCACAAGACCAGAAGACGAACAAACAGGCUGCAGAAAACCCAUAGGAUGGAUAUUUAAUUCUAAAAAGGCAAUCGAAACCUCAGGAUCUGGAGGAUGUGCAAGAUCCAGAAGGAACUCUGCAUUCCUCGUGGUCCAGCAACAAGACAUGUCACACGGUCUUCCCAGGCUUGGAUUUCCCAAAGCACUCGUGCCGUGGGAAAUGGCAAGGCACACAGAGAAAGCUGUCACAGACCCAAGGCUCCUGUCACCACGGUGGUGAGACUGGCUCUCUGAAUUACAACAGGCUGAUCCCCUUUAUGAAGUCGCCUUGAAAACAGAAAGUCUUCCCUUCGGGUUCCUUGAACCUCUUCCCAUCCCUACCUCCAAUUCAGCACCUGGCAAAAUCCCUAACCCAUGUGGAUACUGACCCCCGAGGGCACUGUGCAUGUUUAGGAGACACCCAUGGCAGACAGUAUAGAUAGAGAGUCCCAUGCCCAGGGCACUGGUGGGGAAUCUCUGCAGCACAACAAUUUCUGAAGGCCCUGGCAGGUUCCAGCCCAGUGCUCUUGUCUGGGAUACCUGUUACUAUGUGGCCCCUGGGCUCUGCAAAGGAAGCCUAUACUUCAGAACACAGCUGUGGCUCCAAAUAGCAUCCAGGGCUGGUGAGGUGCUAAGUGGGUAAAGGAACACACUUUGUGGGCCCGAUGGUGUGAGUUCAAUCCUAGAACUCACAUAAGAGACCGGACUCCACAAAACAGUCCUGCCAUGUGUGCACUAUGGGACAGAUGCAUAUGCACAGGCACUGUAUUUUAAAAAUUAGAAGUACAUUCAUUCAUCUAUUUAUUCAAUUAUCUGACCAGUAUUCCUGCAGCACCAGCAAUGCCUAGGCAGUCUGGAACCACGGGAGACAACAAAGAGCAAAUAACUGUGGUCUUUGCUCUCACAGAAAAAUUGAUGAGAGAGGGGAAGGGAGGGCCCAUCAGAGAUGGUGGUGGGAGGAGCUAUCUGAACUGACAUUUGAGUGACAGGCAGUGCAGUGUCCUGGUUUGAAUGUGAUUUUCCUGUGUAGCCUCCAAAGACUGGAAGCUUGGUCGGCAGCAUGGCAGUCCUGGGAGGGGAUGCACCCUUUAACAGGCAGAGUCUCAUGGAAGAUGGCAGGCAUGGGAGAGUCAGGCAUUGAAGGACUCCAUAUCGUUCUUGAGGGACUUGAGGGGUCCUGGUUAAGUCCUGCAAGACCGAAUUUAUUUUCAGUUCUUGGGGGGGGGGGGCGUCUUUUGUAGGGGUGAUGUUGUUUGUUUUUUCAGGGACAGGGUUUCUCUGUGUAGCCCUGGCUGUCCUGGAACUCACUCUGUAGACCAGGCUGGCCUCAAACUCUGAGAUCUACCUGCCUCUGCCUCCCAAGUUCUCAGAUUAAAGGCGUGCACCACCACCACCCGGCAUGCACCAGUGAAUUGUUACCAGAGAGUAAACUUGGAUUCUGAGUUUCUCUAAGUGACUGUCUCCUCUUGCAUCUUGCUGUCAGCCAUAUUGUGAUCUAGCAGGAGGGCUCUCACCAGAGCCGAGUACAUGCUGGUGUUGCGCCCUCAAAUCUACAGAAAUAUGAGAUAAAUAAAACUUUAAUAAGUACAGGUGUUUUUAUAAUAGCAAGGUGUGAUGGUUUGUACAUGCUCAGUCCAGGGAGUGGUUCUAUUACAAGGUGUGGCCUUGUUGGAGUAAGUGUGGCCCUGUUGGAGUAGGCGUGUCACUGUGGGUGAGGGCUAUCCUCCUAGCUGUGUGGAAGCCAGUAUUCUGCUAGCAGCCUUCAGAUGAAGAUGUAGAACUCUCUCAGCUCCACCUGUGCCAUGCCUGCCUGGAUGCUGUCAUGUUCUUGCCUUGACAAUAAUGGACUGAACCUCUGAACCUGACACACAGGAGAAUUGGAGUAGAAGGAUGUCCACACUGGUCACUGAACACACACUGGAGCAGCUCACACUUUGCUAUUUUGUAGUUGACUUCCUUACACUGCCGGGAGAAAUUCACAGCAUGCCGUGUUUGUAGAUGAGCUGUUUGGGCCACGGAGCAGGGCAGGUGCUGAGUUCAAGUCACCACCAGCGACAAUGGUCCUGAGGCUUUGAAGACGAAGGCCGAGGACAAACUUUGAAGAGAGUUCCAAGUUUGCAUACAACUCUUCCGGCACCGGUCCCACCCCUGGGGACUCCCCAGGGCCACCUAGAUCAAAGAACUGGCAACAGUGCCUCUGCUCGUCUAACCUGCAGCCAUGCAGCGCCUCCUGGUGGUAGAGGUCUCUUUUGGGUUCCCUAACUGGGCAGAGGACAUCUAAUUCCUCCUUAGAACUUGAGGUCCUUUCUCUUUUCCGUUUUCAUGUGAC